UACCUCAUUGACUGGAAGGAAUCCCUUCUGGUCAAUGAGGUUGUUAUACCUCAUUGACUGGAAGGAAUCCCUUCUGGUCAAUGAGGUU
rnacentral:miRNA from 1 species